GAUUGAACGCUGGCGGCAUGCCUAACACAUGCAAGUCGAACGGUAACAGGUCUUCGGAUGCUGACGAGUGGCGGACGGGUGAGUAAUGCGUAGGAAUCUGUCUUUUAGUGGGGGACAACCCAGGGAAACUUGGGCUAAUACCGCAUGAGCCCUGAGGGGGAAAGCGGGGGAUCUUCGGACCUCGCGCUAAGGGAAGAGCCUACGUCUGAUUAGCUAGUUGGUAGGGUAAAGGCCUACCAAGGCGACGAUCAGUAGCUGGUCUGAGAGGACGACCAGCCACACUGGGACUGAGACACGGCCCAGACUCCUACGGGAGGCAGCAGUGGGGAAUUUUUCGCAAUGGGGGCAACCCUGACGAAGCAAUGCCGCGUGGAUGAAGAAGGCCUUCGGGUUGUAAAGUCCUUUCGUGGGGGACGAAAAGGCGGGUCCUAAUACGAUCUGCUGUUGACGUGAACCCAAGAAGAAGCACCGGCUAACUCCGUGCCAGCAGCCGCGGUAAUACGGGGGGUGCAAGCGUU
rnacentral:rRNA from 1 species